rnacentral:rRNA from 1 species
CAAUAGCGUAUAUUAAAGUUGUUGCAGUUAAAAGCUCGUAGUUGGAUUUCUGGCGGGGACCCAAGUACCCCUGGUGGGUGUGCUCGGGCCCGGCCAUCCUUCUGUAAACUUUCGCGCGUCCUUCACCGGUCGGCAAAGGGAUCAGAUAAUUUACCUUGAGAAAAUUAGAGUGUUUCAGGCAGGCUUAGCCGGAAUACAUUAGCAUGGAAUAAUGGAAUAGGACUGAGGUCUCGUUGUUGGUUACGCGGACUACAGUAAUGAUUAAUAGGGACAGUUGGGGGCAUUAGUAUUUAAUAGCUAGAGGUGGAAUUCUCUAAUUUGUUAAAGACUAACUUAUGCGAAAGCAUUUGCCAAGGAUGUUUUCAUUAAUCAAGAACGAAAGUUAGGGGAUCAAAGAUGAUCAGAUACCAU